CAUGGGACUCUACCGUGCCGUGUUACGCUGGCGAAUAGACACAUUAAAACUUCGCCCGUUUGCCCAACAUGUCCAAAUGGGCCAGAGGAUACUAAACAUGUGUUGUUUCUGUGCCAAAAGGCUAAAGAAGUGUGGAAAAUUUUGGGGCUAUAUAAAGUGAUUAAAAAAAAUUGUGUUGCGGACCGAGCGGGAGAGGCAGUACUGGAAGCAUUACUCCUUAUGCCUGAUGAUCAAUUACCUACUCUGGUUUCCCAAAAUGCACGGGAGCUGAUUGCUAUAACCGUGUGGUAUUUAUGGUAG
rnacentral:rRNA from 1 species